rnacentral:rRNA from 1 species
AGUGAACGCUGGCGGUAGGCCUAACACAUGCAAGUCGAACGGCAGCACAGUAAGAGCUUGCUCUUACGGGUGGCGAGUGGCGGACGGGUGAGGAAUACAUCGGAAUCUACUUUUUCGUGGGGGAUAACGUAGGGAAACUUACGCUAAUACCGCAUACGACCUACGGGUGAAAGCAGGGGAUCUUCGGACCUUGCGCGAUUGAAUGAGCCGAUGUCGGAUUAGCUAGUUGGCGGGGUAAAGGCCCACCAAGGCGACGAUCCGUAGCUGGUCUGAGGGGAUGAUCAGCCACACUGGAACUGAGACACGGUCCAGACUCCUACGGGAGGCAGCAGUGGGGAAUAUUGGACAAUGGGCGCAAGCCUGAUCCAGCCAUACCGCGUGGGUGAAGAAGGCCUUCGGGUUGUAAAGCCCUUUUGUUGGGAAAGAAAAGCAGCAGGUUAAUACCCCGCUGUUCUGACGGUACCCAAAGAAUAAGCACCGGCUAACUGCGU